CCCCUUGAAGAUGAACAUUUCACCACCCAUGUGCUCAAUGGCCUCGAUGAUGACUAUGAUAAUCUUAUUAAGAACGUCCAUGGUCGCGAGGCGCCUCUCCCGCCACGGGAACUGUACGCGCGUCUUCUUGGUCGAGA
rfam:Triticum aestivum genome assembly, contig: Triticum_aestivum_CS42_TGACv1_scaffold_129404_2BL